rnacentral:rRNA from 1 species
AACGCGAAAGGUUCCUUCGGGAACCGAGUAGAGUGGCGCACGGGUGAGUAACACGUAGGUAAUUUGCCUUUGGGUGGGGAAUAACUCAGGGAAACUUGAGCUAAUACCGCAUAAUGCAGCGGCUCGACAUCGAGACAGUUGUUAAAGCGGGGGAUCGCAAGACCUCGCGCCUGAAGAGAAGCCUGCGGCAGAUUAGCUAGUUGGCAGGGUAAUGGCCUACCAAGGCGACGAUCUGUAACCGGCCUGAGAGGGCGGUCGGUCACACUGACACUGACAUACGGGUCAGACUCCUACGGGAGGCAGCAGUCGGGAAUUUUGGGCAAUGGGCGAAAGCCUGACCCAGCAACGCCGCGUGAAGGAUGAAAUUUUUCGGAAUGUAAACUUCGCAAGAACGGGAAGAAUAAGUAGAAGCUAAUACCUUCUAUGAUGACGGUACCGUUUGUAAGCUCCGGCUAACUCCGUGCCAGCAGCCGCGGUAAUACGGGGGGAGCAAGCGUUGUUCGGAUUUACUGGGCGUAAAGGGCGCGUAGGCGGUCGUGACAAGUCACUUGUGAAAUCUCCGGGCUUAACUCGGAACGGUCAAGUGAUACUGUCGGACUAGAGUACAGAAGGGGCAACUGGAAUUCUCGGUGUAGCGGUGAAAUGCGUAGAUAUCGAGAGGAACACCUGCGGCGAAGGCGGGUUGCUGGGCUGAUACUGACGCUGAGGCGCGAAAGCCAGGGGAGCGAACGGGAUUAGAUACCCCGGUAGUCCUGGCCUUAAACGAUGAAUGCUUGGUGUCUCGGGUUAUAAAGUC